UAUGAGAGGAUGCUACCAGGCUAUUUAAAGGGACAGGAUGCUACCAGGCUAUUUAAAGUGACAGGAUGCUACCAGGCUAUUUAAAGGGACAGGAUGCUACCAGGCUAUUUAAAGUGACAGGAUGCUACCAGGCUAUUUAAAGUGACAGGAUGCUACCAGGCUAUUUAAAGUGACAGGAUGCUACCAGGCUAUUUAAAGUGACAGGAUCCUACCAGGCUAUUUAAAGUGAGAGGAUGCUACCAGGCUAUUUAAAGUGACAGGAUGCUACCAGGCUAUUUAAAGUGGCAGGAUGCUACCAGGCUAUUUAAAGUGACAGGAUGCUACCAGGCUAUUUAAAGUGGCAGGAUGCUACCAGGCUAUUUAAAGCGAGAGGAUGCUACCAGG
rnacentral:lncRNA from 1 species